rnacentral:snoRNA from 1 species
GAGUGACGACAGCUGGAAUUACCGGCAGAUUGUUCAGUGGUGAUGCUCGGUUUUUCUGACG